GUCUGCAACAAUGGAUAUUGUACUGCUCAUCACCUGUUCAGGAAUUCCCCAUUGAAGGACAGGCCCAGUUGCUGCUGCUUCUUCUUUCUCAAGCUAUUCAACAUAAAAUUGUUCAGGGUUUGUUCAGACUUGUCCAUUUAAUACUCAAAAAUGAAGUGCUACUUUCCCUAACUCUUCGGCUGACUGGUUUGAUUAAAAGUUCAGCAGAAGAUCCAGCUUGCUCCAGUGUAACUUUCUACAUCCCACAUCAGUAGAAACGGGAUUUCACCAUGUUGGCCUUGCUGGUCUUCAACUCCUGACCUCAAGUGAUCUGCCCUUCUUGGCCUCCCAAAGUGCUGAGAUUAUAGAUGUGAGGCACUGUACCUGGCCAAAGGGAUUUUUAAGAAAAGAGAACUUGACACAAGCUUUUCUUAAAGUUCAUCUGGAAAAGUAAAUAAGCAAAAAUACUCGAGAUCUUUUCUGUGUCACAAUACAUUAAAACAUUUCAAGGCUACAGUGAUUAAAAUGUGGUAUUGAUGCAGGAAUGGACAC
rnacentral:lncRNA from 1 species